AUAUCUUCCAGGACUUGGCUCUGGCUGCUUAAAUAUUGUAUAAAUUCCACUGCCCCCCUCGGAAAAGAGAGAGCAAAGAAAAAAGAUGAGAAUGGAGGAGCCCAAGAGGUGGAUGGGGGCUGGACCCCAAGAGGCAAAGGUCUCAGGAAGUGAGGGGCAGGGGGUGAAUUGAAGGGGCUCUUUCUAUCUGCUUCAGGUGCUGUGGAGGGGGCCCAGGCUUUGAAAUGGGGAGGAAGGCAUGGGUUGGGAACAGGAGGGUUGAUUUUAGGGUUCGUUUUUUAGGAGCCUGGGGCAGGGAAGAUCCAUAGUGUAUAUCAGACUCUCAUCCAAGCCAGUGGCUCCAAACAGUGAAGAAUCUCUGAUUUAAAGGACCAGUGGGUGAUGGAAAGAGAAAUUCCAAAGAACAUUCUGAGCUCCAUCUUCUUCCCCCUCUCAGGAUCCCCCCUCCCUCCUGCCCCAGGCUUCCCUCCACUUCCAGACGGCCCUGUUUUGCAGAUGGCGGGCCAGGCCUCGAAGGAGAGAUGCUGUGGGAUGUCCAAGACUUCCUAACACUGAGGAGAUCCCAGCUCCCUCCUGGUACAGGAGAUGAGAAGCCAGCAGUUGGCAGGGGAUGGGCAGAUGGAGGGAAUGGAGUGGAGGAUGGCAGGACCCUCGCCCAGUGCACCUGCUUGACUUUGGGGCUCCUCGGCAGACCCAUGGGAGCUGCAGCUGCUCGUCCUUCCCUGACCUGGCUUGGAGCCGUUCCCAGACCCCACUGCCCUUUCACAUUUUUGCUUGCUCUCCAGUCACUGGGGGCUUCCUCUGGGAAAUGAGGGGGUUCAACGGGUCCAUCUCUGCUUUUACACCAGUCCUCGCCCACUCCACCUGUUUACAGUUCCCCCCCUCGUGGACUUGAUGUCUGGAAAGGUGUUGUGUACCACAUAAAGAGUGUGGAUGAAGACAGCAUUCUCUUAUUUAAUCAGAGAUGUUCAUACCCUGCAGUCAGAAACUGUUGACGGACUCCAUUCCAGCUACUAGCUAAGGGUCGCACAGACCAGUCUCAGACACGUGAACACUUUCUGGUGGCUUGCUGAAAUUCUGGAGGUACUCUGUUUAUGCUGAAAUCAAAUGGUAGGAUUGCAGCUUGAAAAGCACAAGCAAGCGGAGACUGCUCACCUUCUGGCGACUGCCCACGCCUGGCUCUGAGCGCCCUCUUGUGGGCAGAACCCCCACCCACACCCUCAGUACUCCCUGCUGGGCCAUCCAGACCCUGCUUCCCAAGCUGCAGGUGCUGGCCAGGCGGAAGGAACCUCGGGGCAGGAAGCCAGCAGGCAGGUGAAGAUACCAUGGUCUUGAGGGGCUGCUUGAAGAAGCGGGAGGGCAGCGCUGUACUCCCUCUGAGUCAGUCCCCAGGGUGAAAAGAACGAACAGAUUGGGGGAGGAGAGAGCCUCAGUGGCCUGAAGGAGGGCCUCGGAAGAUUUCCACACCCCCACACCUCCCCCAGCCAGAGCUCAGGACCUGCCUCAGGAGAAAAAGGCUCCCAGGCCAUGGGCAGGUCCCGGCUGUGGGGUGGGGCCUGGAACGGGAAGGAGGUGCCGAUGCUUGCGCGAGCUCCAACUCACAAAGUCAUCCACAGCUCCAUCUGACCUUGAGAUUAGUCCCCCGCCCGACCGUCAUCAGCACCCACACGCCCGGCCCUUUCCACCUCUCCCUCACACGUUAAUUGCUCCAACGUUGAUUUGAUCUCCCGUUCUGCAAGGAGGAAAUUGCCCUCUUAGCCAUUUUCAUCCUGGGAGUUUUUUUUUUUUUUUUUAAUUAGGCCCGGUUGUCCU
ensembl:lncRNA